UACAGAGGAUGCAAGCGUUGUCCGGAUUUAUUGGGCGUAAAGAGCGUGUAGGCGGCCUGAAAGGUCAGCUGUGAAAACUCGAGGCUCAACCUCGAGACGUCGGUUGAAACCAUCUGGCUAGAGUCCGGAAGAGGAGUGUGGAAUUCCCGGUGUAGCGGUGAAAUGCGCAGAUAUCGGGAAGAACACCCGUGGCGAAGGCGGCACUCUGGGACGGUACUGACGCUGAGACGCGAAAGCGUGGGGAGCGAACAGG
rnacentral:rRNA from 1 species